UGCAACUCAUCGCCUUCCACAAAACUUU
rnacentral:sRNA from 1 species